AUUUUUAGUAGAGACAGGAUUUCACCAUGUUGGCCAGGCUGGUCUCAAAUUCCUGACCUCAAGUCAUCUGCCCACCUCGGCUGCCCAAAGUGCUGGGAUUACAGGCGUGAGCUUCCGUGCCCAGCCUGAACUGUUAAGUGUUUGUUUGUGAAGAAUUAUUUGGGGGCCUAUUUGAGAGCUGUUAUAUGGAUCAUCCUCCUGGAGAGGGUUCUUAGCCUCUGAGACCAGGUUUGGGGCUGAGGCUUUCUGACCCACACGAGUUAUGCUGACCCCUGAAGGGCUGCAGGCCAGACCUUGCCAGGUGAGCACUUGCCCCGCUCACAAUCAGGAUAGGGCGAGGGGGUUAGUACCGAUUCACCCUGAGGGCCUAGAUUUGGGGGCUGAGGCUUGCUGCAGAUAGGUGAGAGUCUGAAGGGAGCACCUGAGGCUGGGCUGGAGCCUGGUGUCCGCCCCACCCUGCUGGACUGGCCACGCCCUGGGGCAGCAGCACUGGGUGCUUGGCGCUCACGAGCUUCCUGGGCCCCUGUGUCCCUCACUUCUCCCUCGUUUGUACCUUCCUGGCUUGUCAGAUUCCCACAGCUCUUAAGGAGAAAGUCAGUAUUUACUGCAGCACGUCUGUUUUCAGUGUGAUGGUUCGUCCGGGUACCCUAGCCUGUCAUUGCUGGAAUUGGAAAUCUCUGUUGUCUGCUGCUGUUUUAUGAAACAAGCGUGUGAGGUUAUAAGUUUCCCUCAACAUACCACACUAACCACAUUUCCCUAAGUUUUGAUGUAUAGUAUUUUCACUGCCAUUCAGUUCAAAAUAUUUUCUCAUUUCAAGUAUGAUGUCUUCUUUGA
rnacentral:sRNA from 1 species